UACGUAGGUGGCAAGCGUUGUCCGGAAUUAUUGGGCGUAAAGCGCGCGCAGGCGGUCCUUUAAGUCUGAUGUGAAAGCCCACGGCUCAACCGUGGAGGGUCAUUGGAAACUGGGGGACCUGAGUGCAGGAGAGAAGAGUGGAAUUCCACGUGUAGCGGUGAAAUGCGUAGAGAUGUGGAGGAACACCAGUGGCGAAGGCGACUCUUUGGCCUGUAACUGACGCUGAGGCGCGAAAGCGUGGGGAGCGAACAGG
rnacentral:rRNA from 1 species